rnacentral:rRNA from 1 species
UACAGAGGGGGCAAGCGUUGUUCGGAAUUACUGGGCGUAAAGGGCGCGUAGGCGGCCUGCUAAGUCGAACGUGAAAUCCCUGGGCUCAACCCAGGAACUGCGUCCGAUACUGGUUGGCUUGAAUCCGGGAGAGGGAUGUGGAAUUCCAGGUGUAGCGGUGAAAUGCGUAGAUAUCUGGAGGAACACCGGUGGCGAAGGCGACAUCCUGGACCGGUAUUGACGCUGAGGCGCGAAAGCCAGGGGAGCGAACAGG